GAUAUCAACUGAAAAAGUCAUCAACAACAAAGUUGAAUAACUCAUCUAAGAUCUAAAACUUUUAUUUUUGUUAUUUCUUCAUCCGACGAAAUGUUAGUAAUAUUAUUCACAAAAUUUACAUAUAUGUGUUAUAGUUUAUAAAACCAGAUAAGAGAUAUGUCAAUUUUGUGAACAAUGUUACUAUCACUUUGUCGUAUGAAGAAAUGAUUAAAAUAAAAGUUUUAGAUCUUGACGAGUUAUUCAACUUUGUUGUUGAUGACUUUUUCAGUUGAUAUC
rnacentral:pre_miRNA from 1 species